UUUGGAUAUGACGUCAUAAUUCUCUAGCUUUCUAUUUUACAGUACAAAACUAACCUUAUUCAUCACACUUUCUACAUUUAAGGCUUCUAACAGUUGGAAGGAAUAAAACGUUGGAUUGUUGCCAUGCGGUCUAUGCCAAGAUUAAAUUUAUUAUGAUAGGAAAGCUGCACUGAAUUCGUCUAACGUCCUGAAUCUGCGAUUAUGGAUCUGGAAAAACAUCAGAGGUUCACCGCUUAACAAACUGGAUAAUCAAAGAUGCCACAAAUCUCAAGAGGAUUCUUGGCGGUGAUUGGAGAUAUCUGGGUGGUGGACUCCAUUGCGUCCCCCUCAGCAUCGAUCAUCACUACUACCGCCGUCUGCAGUGUGUCUGCUACCUCACUUUGCACGGACGAAAAGAAACUCAUAUUUAAAAAUGGAUGAAGUGUCAAGUGUUAAUUAAAAGUGAUGAAUAAUAGGCACAGAAUAUAUAGUAAGGACACAAAUAAGGAUUCACAGUGAAACAGUUAUGUGCAAAGUGCUUGGAUAACCAUGAACAAGGUAUUUAUACUUAAGUUUUAUAUAAUGCUCUAGUGCUCCAAUAUUGGAAUGUUGAUUCCUGAUCGGCUUAUAUACAAAUAUCAAUGACUAGAAUUAGCAGUUUAGGCCCAUAAAAUAUAAUAGCUCUCUAUAAAAAAUAUAUUUUCCACAAUAAUAAAUAAAAAUUUCUUUAAAAAAAAAUUUCUCCUUAUUUAAAGCUAUUGAUUCCCCAGAAGUAGUAUUACACCUGCCUGCGUUCCUCAAUACUCUUAUAUCUAUUAUCCAUCCAUGACAAAUUUCAAUAUGCCUAGACUUGUCUUUAGUUAUUAUCCUCAAUAUAGGUCUUGACUUAAUAUCAAUAAUUAUUUAAUGAGCUCUGCUCUCAUCAUCAGCCCCACGUUGGGCG